AUUGAACGCUGGCGGCAGGCCUAACACAUGCAAGUCGAACGAGUGGCGGACGGGUGAGUAAGGCUUGGGAAUAUAGCUUAUGGAGGGGGAUAACUACGGGAAACGGUAGCUAAUACCGCAUACCAUAGGAUGAGCCCAAGUGGUAUUAGGGAGUUGGUGAGGUAAAGGCUCACCAAGCCGACGAUCUCUAGCUGGUCUGAGAGGAUGACCGGCCACACUGUAACUGAGACACGGCCCAGACUCCUACGUGAGGCAGCAGUGGGGAAUAUUGCGCAAUGGGGGCAACCUGAUGCAGCCAUGCCGCGUGAAUGAAGAAGGCCUUCGGGUUGUAAAGUUCUUUCAGUAGCGAGGCGUUACCUACAGAAGAAGCACCGGCUAACUCCGUGCCAGCCGCCGCGGUAAUAC
rnacentral:rRNA from 1 species